AGGACGAACGCUGGCGGCGUGCUUAACGACAUGCAAGUCGAGCGGAAAGGCCCUUCGGGGUACUCGAGCGGCGAACGGGUGAGUAACACGUGAGUAAUCUGCCCCUAGCUCUGGGAUAGCUCCGGGAAACCGGGAUUAAUACCAGAUACGACCACUUUAGACAUCUGUUGUGGUGGAAAGAAUUUUGGCUAGGGAUGAGCUCGCGGCCUAUCAGCUUGUUGGUGAGGUAACGGCUCACCAAGGCGACGACGGGUAGCCGGCCUGAGAGGGCGACCGGCCACACUGGGACUGAGACACGGCCCAGACUCCUACGGGAGGCAGCAGUGGGGAAUAUUGCGCAAUGGGCGAAAGCCUGACGCAGCGACGCCGCGUGGGGGAUGAAGGCCUUCGGGUUGUAAACCCCUUUCAGCAGGGACGAAGCGAAAGUGACGGUACCUGCAGAAGAGCGCCGGCUAACUACGCGCCAGCAGCCGC
rnacentral:rRNA from 1 species